rnacentral:lncRNA from 1 species
CCCAGUAUAAAAAAAUAAUAAAAUAAUAAAAGGGCCACAAAUAAAUACUAGUCCAAUUGCAACAAAAUUACAAACGGGCCACAAAGCCCAAAAACCAAUGUAAAACAGUGGCCCAAAUUCAGUGGCCCAAACCAAACACGGCUCGAAACAGACAGAAACCCUAGGAUUUCCACAGCGCCGCAAGCCUCCAAAUCAGCCCCGAUCUUCACCUGCACAAUAAGGAAAGAAAGCAAAACAGUAUAUGGAAAGAAAUCAAGAGAUUGAGAAUCAAAUCAAUGUAAAUAGUAUUUUAUUUUCAUAUUUCUUAUGUAUAUUAUGGCUAUAUAAAGCCAUUGUUAAGACGAAAAAAGGGGAUGGGAAAUCAAUAAAAGAAGCAUUUUUACAACAUCAAAGAGAAAAAAAACUACUUUCGCAAUAAAAAAAAACUGAGUUCAAAUACAAAAGGGCAAAUCGAUCGAAAAGGUGGAUGUUCAUCAUAUUUUUUAUUAUUGUUAUAUAUUUUUUUAUUUUUUUAUUUUUAUAAACGAAUAAUAUAGAUAUAAAAAGGAAAGGAAAUACCUUUGUUUGAGUCAGAACCGCCGUGGAUGGCCGAGGAAGCCGUCACCGAGGAUUGACGGCCGAAAAUCGGAAGGUUUUCUCGAGAUUUGGGCCCUCUCCAUAAAUAUUUUGGCAAUCUCAGGAUUAGAUUCGAGUUUAAAGGCUUUAGAAGGUUCAGAUCUGAAAUUUUUGGCUCUCUGACCACCGCAUACGGCGGCGUCGCCGCCGAUGGCUGGUGGCCAGAGCGAUUUCCGAUGACCGGCCGACGCCGGACUAAGGCCGGACGACUGGGAAAGGGGAGAGCUCUUUUUGAAGGUUUUUGUUUUUUU